UUGACAGGAGUCUAGCCAAAGAGCUUCAGCGAACACGUUAUAUAUUACCUUUUUGGACGUUUAAUGUGUUGUAAACAUCAAAAAAUAAAUAUCAAUAUUAAAGUUAUGGAAGCCAGAACUAACAGGAGUCCUACACACGCUGUCACAGAAAAAAACAAGGACUAUGAAUGCGACUGACUCUAACGUCUAUGUGUAUAAUGAAUUCCGUCAAUGAAGCCUUUGAAAAAAGAGGGCCAUACCCCAGUCUUUGCCUGUGCGAAUGUGGUGUACCACAGGAGGUCAGAUGGCAUUACAUGAUGGAAUAACAUUUCUUACCAAAUUCAGCAGGUCAAAAGUGCUCUUUACCAUCCACAGACAGUAUUUGGCAGACUAGGAACAAGAAAUUCGGUUUGGUUGUGCAUGAACAGCAAAUGCAUCCAGUGCUGGUUUGUUAACAUGCAGGGGCUGCCACUGUCUUCCUUAAGGAUAACAAGGAUGUCAGUUUCCUGCAAAAUAAUCCAGGAAGAACCCCAGGUCUUACUGUUCAAGACGCAAUGAGGUUGUGACCAUCAGGCUCAAAGCUGUGGAGAAAGAUGUCUGGCUGUGAGACAUACUGAUGUUAUGCUUUACUGAUGUUGUUGCCAACAACUACAAACCAUUCACUAUAACUACCACAGCGAACAAUGUACUGAUAAUGCAGAAAAUCUGAGCUACCUUUGUGAAAGAGGCCAAGAGAGGAUUUGAUGGUGGAGUUUCAGAUGACACAAUGCUGACUGUUUCCACCCAGCUGAUUUUGCUUCCUACAGGCAACAGAAGGAAGUCUUCACUUUUAUUUUAAACAAUUCAGUUUUAAUGCCACCAAUUUGUCAAGAUAACAUGUAACUGAACAGAUUGAAAUUACACCAACUUCCUUCAUUAACACAAACUAUCUGUGUACCUGGACCAUCAGCUUGAACAGUAUACUACUUCAACUACCAUUUCCUCAUAUUCAAACAUUACUAGAAAGGUCUGAAAGGCAAUCAUACUAAAUGAAGAAUGAUAAACUCCUCUGUUAUAAAUUCUGCUGCAACUUGAGAUGACCAGUAUGUACAGACAGUGCCAAAUUUAUUGCAUUUAUUACUUGUGUCUUAUCUGACAGUGCUUUAUGCAUAGAUAUUGUACUUGAAGUUAACUAUGAUUUUAUUAAGAUGCGAUUUUUCACUCUGUAUUGAUGUUCACAUACUUCAAUUUCUGUUGCCAUACCAGUGUCACUAACAGAUAGUCUAGAUGAAUUUGUUUUUAUUUAUUUCUACCACUGUUGUCUAUGAACAUUUUCAUAUCAUAUAGUUAGUACACUUCAUUAUAUACAGGGCAGUCAAUGUCUUAUUUCAGAUAACAACUCAGCAAUAAGCCUCUUGACAUUUCUGCUUUGAAUUGUCUAUAUAUUUUUCAUUUCUUUUUAAGUUUGAAGUCUAAUCACUGUUAAAAAACAGGCUCAUCUUAUGGCUGCCUAGAAAUAUCUUCCAAAUUGAUAAUUAAUUAAAAUAACAAUAACCUAAUGCCCUUAUGGAAACAUAUUCCAAACAUUCCUUAACAGCUAUGAAAUUAUUUUUGGACAAACCUUUUUGCAGUUUACAGAUUUUUCCCCAACCAAAUGCACUGCUUAACCUAUAAAUAAGUGAUUUUUAGCUCGACUAUUCGAAGAAUAGGUGGGCUAUACUACUCGCUCCAGCGUCGGUGUCCGGUUAAAGUUUUAGGGCAAGUUGGGAUUUUCAUUUUUAAGUCCAAUACCCUACAUUCAAUUGACUUAAUACUUCACGAAGUUGUUCAGGGCCAUCACAUGAUGAGGUUAGUUAACUCCAUAUUAUUCUUUAAACAGAUUAAGGCCCCUGAUUGACUAUGGAACUUAGGUUAAAGUUUUAGGGCAAGUUGGAAUAUUUAUUAAUAACUUCUAUAUCCUUUGUUCAAAUGACUUAAUACUUCACACAGUUCUUCAGGACCAUCACACAAUGAGGUUACAUAACUCCAUAUUAUCCUAAAUACAAGUUAUGGUCUCUGAUUGACUUAGGUAAAAGUUUAAGGGCAGGUUAAGUUUUAGGGCAAGUUGGGAUUUUCACUGAAAACUCCAAUACCAUUCAUUCAAUUGACUUAAUACUUCACACAGUUGUUCAGAGCCAUCACAUAAUGAGGUAAGAUAACUCCAUAUUAUUCUUUACACAGAUUAUGGCCCCUGAUUGACUAUGGAACUUAGGUUAAAGUUUUUGGGCAGGUUGGGAUAUUGUUUAAUAACUUCUAUACCCUUCAUGCAAUUGACUUAAUACUUCACACAAUUGUUCAGGACCAUCACCCAAUGAGGUAACAUAACUCCAUAUCCUAAAUACAAGUUAUGGCCCCUGAUUGACUUAGGUUAAAGUUUAAGGCAAGUAAAAGUUAAGGGCAAGUUGGGAUUUUAAUAAAAAAACUUCUAUGCACUUAAUAAAAUUCAAAAUUAUUCACGACCAUCUUACAACAAGAAACAUAACUCCAUUUUAAGCCUUAAUACAAAUUAUGGCCCUUGAUUUUUUUUUGAUUUUUGUUUAAUUUCCUUCUUAACCACAUUUUCAUAAUGGGAAAUCAAGUUAUUUAAAUGACUUGCGUCAUUGUUUGGGCGGGCUGGUGGGAGGGCAGCAUCAAAGUCAACUUAUGUAUCGAAUAAUUUCAGUUAGGUUUGACAUAAAGAGACCAAACUUGGUAUUAUUACAUCGUUAUUGUAUUCUAGGUCAAAGCGGCAUAGUCGAGCGCGCUGUCUUACGACGGCUCUUGUUGACAUAUUGUAAUCAUUUUCACUCAUUGCAUAUUUUUUCUGCUACAAUAUUAUAGCGUUUUCAUGUGUAUCAUUUAGAUUCAUUGUUUUCACAUUAUUACUUCACUCAUGAUUCAGUGCUUAUCUCAUUUUAUGUAAAUUUCUUUUUGUUCAAUUGUAAAUAAUGACAAAUGCUGCUCAAAAGAGUGUGAUAAUGGAUAUACUCUUCUUGUCAUUCAUGUUAUUUGAUAAUUGUCAGCUGCGUCAUCUUCCAUGAAUUGCAUUACUUUCACUUUGCCUCAGAUUUAAUAGUAUGUGUGGUGGUUUUAUGUUGUUGCUUUUAGAACAGGGGUUAUUUUGAUAAGCCAAAUAUCCUGUACAUUAUCAUUUCGCCAAAGUAGUUCAUUAUAGAUUCAUAUAUCACUAUAACACUACAGACUGGUUAAUUGUAAUGGUAAACAAUUUUUCAAUUAUUUUAAAAGAAAUCCAUCCAUUGAUAUAGCCUUCAUAUUACACCAUUGUUUCCUAGUGCUUUACCUUGCAUUUUUGUCAUUCAGGCAUGGUUGAAAUACAUUUCAAGGGACUAGACACCAGAUGAUACCAUUGCAAGAUGAAAAAUAACUGUCCAAAACUUGUGUCAUUCAUAUCUUAUUGUACAUUUUAAUUGAGUUUUUGGACCGAGUAAAUUCCAUUUAUUUAAAAAAAAGCUUCUGAGUGUGUCUUGUAAAAAUCACAGGACCCCUACAUGCUAUUCUUUAGUGUAUACACAUUGCUGAGACAGGGAUAGAAAUAUUUAUUUUUUCAUUUACAAUAUUGCAUUUUUUUUUACCUCAUACUAGCCCUAACUCAUAAGUUCAGUCUGUUGGAAAAAUUGAACUUACUGAUUUUGGUACUUUUGGUUCACCCCCAAUUGAUCUUAUAAACCCUGGUAUAAUAUUGAUAAUUAUGGAGAAAUAAAGACAUACUUUGUAAGUAAUAUUAAUUGGAAUCAACUACAGACCUAUUCAGAUUAUGAAAUAAAAUACUGCAUAAUAACUUUUAUUUAAUCAUAGACCAACUAUAAAAACGCACAAAAGAGAAUGUUUCCUUUUCAUAUAUCUUGUUCUUUUUUCUGAAAUUAAACUGCUGGUUUAAGGCAUUGGUCUAAGACAGGUGUUGUUGACUGUUGAUAUGUAAAUUUAACCAGCUACGAUAACAACAUCAUAUGCAUACACCACUGUCAGCAUUUUAACUGCUACAGCUAAUGAAGAACCUCCAAUAGCUAUACUCUUAUAUUAGCUGCCAUUUAUAAAUCAUA